GCCCAGGUGGCGAAAUUGGUAGACGCACUACCUUGAGGUGGUAGCGCCGCGAGGCUUGCUGGUUCAAGUCCAGUCCUGGGCACCA
rnacentral:tRNA from 4 species